GCUUGUGUGGUGGAACUGGUAUACACAUUAGACUUAAAAUCUAACGCCUUCGGGAUUGGGGGUUCGAAUCCCCCCACAAGCA
rnacentral:tRNA from 2 species